UACAGAGGUCCCAAGCGUUGUUCGGAUUCACUGGGCGUAAAGGGUGCGUAGGCGGUCGGGUAAGUCUGACGUGAAAUCUUCAAGCUUAACUUGGAAACUGCGUCGGAUACUAUUCGGCUAGAGGAAUGGAGGGGAGACUGGAUAAUUGGUGUAGCAGUGAAAUGCGUAGAUAUCAAGUGGAACACCAGUGGCGAAGGCGAGUCUCUGGACAUUUCCUGACGCUGAGGCACGAAAGCCAGGGGAGCAAACAGG
rnacentral:rRNA from 1 species